rnacentral:misc_RNA from 1 species
GAUGAAGAACGCAGCGAAAUGCGAUAAGUAAUGUGAAUUGCAGACACCGUGAAUCAUCGAAUCUUUGAACGCACAUUGCGCCCUUUGGUAUUCCGAAGGGCAUGCCUGUUCGAGCGUCAUUACACUAUUCUUCGGAGUAUUGACAGUGGCUUACGCCUUGUCUAAAACCCUUGGUGGUAACUAUCAAUCACGCAUAGUAAUCUCUGCGAAGGUGGAUAGGUAAACACUGAAAACUUCUUGUUUGACCUCGGAUCAGGUAGGGAUACCCGCUGAACUUAAGCAUAUCAAUAAGCGGAGGA